rnacentral:rRNA from 1 species
CAGAGGGGGCAAGCGUUGUUCGGAAUUACUGGGCGUAAAGGGCGCGUAGGCGGCCUGCUAAGUCGAACGUGAAAUCCCUGGGCUCAACCCAGGAACUGCGUCCGAUACUGGUUGGCUUGAAUCCGGGAGAGGGAUGCGGAAUUCCAGGUGUAGCGGUGAAAUGCGUAGAUAUCUGGAGGAACACCGGUGGCGAAGGCGGCAUCCUGGACCGGCAUUGACGCUGAGGCGCGAAAGCCAGGGGAGCAAACGAGAUUAGAUACCCCGGUAGUCCUGGCCCUAAACGAUGAAUGCUUGGUGUGGCGGGUAUCGAUCCCUGCCGUGCCGAAACUAACGCAUUAAGCAUUCCGCCUGGGGAGUACGGUCGCAAGGCUG